rnacentral:tRNA from 1 species
GGACCAAUAGCUCAGCGGAUAGAGCAGUGGUUUCCGGAGCCACGUGUCGGGGGUUCAAUUCCCUCUUGGUUCG